rnacentral:lncRNA from 1 species
GUAAAAAAGAACAUUAUUUAACACGCUGCUCCUCAGUGAAAUGAGGAAGUUAGACUACGUGGGUGUUUGUGGAGACAAAUAUCCAAGAUCCUUUAAAUGGCAGAAUGGUUAAAAGUGUACACUUACCCACCAAACCUUUGAUCAUGGAUAUUACUGCCGAGGAAAGAGGUUGAGAGGAAAAAUAUAAAAUAAAUAAUAGUGGAGGUGUUCUGCAAAUAUGACAAAACUUGUAAACACAACACAUGAAUGAAGUUUGAGAAACAGGAAGAAAAAUGAUUAGGUUCAUUGUAGUUUCAGUUUACUGUUAUUUAAAUGAAAUUCAACAGGAAAAAAAAAAAUUGUCCUUUCCUAAAUAAUGUUAAACAGUUCACUUUCUUAAAUCCUCUGAAUUGCUUCUCCACAGCCUUCUGAAUAGCUGACCAAAUACACACAGUGUUUACUCUGUUUUCUUUUUUUAAACAGAGACCACUUGACUAGAUAACAGACUUAAAAAGCAGUGCUAGUACCUGCUAAAGGCUUUGCCAGCAAAAUGAGACAAACACAAACAAGAUACUGCUUUUAUUUGUAAAGCUAAAGGGACUUUCCUUGAAGGACUUUAAAAAAAAUCUGAGAUUAGGAUCUUUUCAAGUUUAGAAUAUCUUUUCUUUUUAAAUGAUGGCUGCUAUAAAUGAUAGAAUAUUUUAGGCAAAGUAAAAAUUGUCAGCCUUUUGGGGAUCCCAUCACCUUUUAAAUAAAUCAUACUAUUUUCUGAAAUUUAGAGGUAUGAAUGUUAAGAAGGGCUUUACAGUUUACAGAGACUACUUGGAAUUAUUCCUUAGUGUGGAAAAUGGUGAGUCUUCAAAGAACCCAGUGAUAGGUAUUCAGAAUCUUGACACCUUAGUUUCCUUUAUUCUAGAGUUCAGGAAAUUGAGGCUAAAGCCAUUACAGAUCCUGGCCACAGGGAUAGUUAACAAGGUGAGAGUCAGUCCGACCCUGGCUCCGGAUGCUGUCUUUGGCUCCCAAGAUGCUCACUGUGGUUCAAGUUGUUCUUUAGAUAGUCAAGUAACACUAAGAACCGAGAUGCAAAGAAGUAUUAGACAGUAUAAAUAAGUUAUACCAUUAUACUUACCAGUAUAAGUUUUACCAUUAAUUUUGUUAUUGCUGCUUUUAGCAAGCUAGACUAUUUAAAAAUAAUUUUGUGAUGAAAGUGUUCAGCUUGGAAAAGUUUUCUAAAAGGUUGGUUUACUAUUUACAGUUUUACACCACUGAGUGCUGUGUAAUUCCAUUCAAUCAAUGCAGCUUAUAUUUACUUAUUGCUUAAAUAUUGAAAUAACUCUAUUGUUUCUUCUGACCAAAUAGAUGUAUUGGUCACACAAAAAAUAAUAAUCAAAAAUAAAAAUAUAAAAUACAAAGGGAAAAUCAUAUAUAAUUGCACCAACCAAAAAUAAUUACUAUAUACAUGUAUAUAUCUACCUAUCUAUUUAGACAGCAUACAAAAUUUCAUAGUGUUCUAAAAUCUACUUUUUCUCAUAUGUCAUUGACAUCUUUUAGUGUCAAUAAAUAUUAACCUAUAUUAUAAUUUGUAAUGGCUACAUGGUCUUUUACUGCAUCAUAAUUCAUUCAGCCAGCCUCUAAGGUGAUGGACAUUAGGAUUGUUGGUUGUUNNNNNNNNNNNNNNNNNNNNNNNNNNNNNNNNUAUUUUAAUUGGAGGUUAAUUACUUUACAGUAUUGUAUUGGUUUUGCCAUCAUCAACAUGAAUCUGCCACAUAUGUUGGUUGUUUUUAGUUAGUCCAAAUAAUCCCACCAUAAACAAUCUUUUAAAUAGUUGUUUAAAUAUCUCAAAUAAAUAAAUAGUUUUCUUUUACCAAUUUACUUGUUACACGUAGUAUUAUUUCUUGGAGAUUCACAAUGCACAUUCACAUAUUAAGCAAAUAUUUAUUGGUCACCUGCCAACUGUGCUAGGUGCUGGGAUUAAUGUAAUAAAGGCUCUGAAAAUUCUCACAGUAAGGAGACCCUGUAAAAUUUUUCUUACGAUUUUUUUUUUUUAAAUAAUGGAGAUCCCUCUCACUCCCUCCCUCUUUUUAAUAUAGAACAUCUGCUAGUAUUUCACUGAUUUUAUCUGGAGCAGAAUUUGGAAAAUGCUAAUUUUGUUGAAAACUACUAAUUAAGUGCCUGUGCCUACCUGUCACUUUUCUGGGAACUCUGAAAAAAUCCUGGGAAUUAUUUAGAGGAAAGAUAUAUUUUAGGCACUUCAGAAGAAUACAUCUUUGAUCUAAAUUGCCCGAUUAACUUUCAGAAUAAAUAGCAUUUUGGUACAAAUAUUUCCGUGAGACACUGGAGUUUUGUUUCCUUAAUAGUANNNNNNNNNNNNNNNNNNNNNNNNNNNNNNNNNNNNNNNNNNNNNNNNNNNNNNNNNNNNNNNNNNNNNNNNNNNNNNNNNNNNNNNNNNNNNNNNNNNUGGUACAAAUAUUUCCGUGAGACACUGGAGUUUUGUUUCCUUAAUAGUAUUCAUAUCAUUAGAACAAAAGGGAGACUUGAAUGUAAAAGGAGAAUGUGGGCCUUUUUAUAAAGUACUUUUUGGCUCAUCAGCAGAUUUGUUGGGGAGAGAACGAGUCAAGAGAUGCAAUUAUUCAAAGGAAUUAAGGGUGGAGGUUAUGGAGAUUAUAUGACAACGUGAAGUAAUUAAAAUAAAACAUCUUGUAGAAAAAGGUUACAAAAUCCUAUACAUGGUAU